rnacentral:rRNA from 1 species
ACAUCCAGCGAACUUGGCAGAGAUGCCUUGGUGCCUUCGGGAACGCUGAGACAGGUGCUGCAUGGCUGUCGUCAGCUCGUGUUGUGAAGUGUUGGGUUAAGUCCCGNAACGAGCGCAACCCUUAUCCUUUGUUGCCAGCGAUUCGGUCGGGAACUCAAAGGAGACUGCCGGUGAUAAACCGGAGGAAGGUGGGGAUGACGUCAAGUCAUCAUGGCCCUUACGAGUAGGGCUACACACGUGCUACAAUGGCGCAUACAAAGAGAAGCGACCUCGCGAGAGCAAGCGGACCUCAUAAAGUGCGUCGUAGUCCGGAUCGGAGUCUGCAACUCGACUCCGUGAAGUCGGAAUCGCUAGUAAUCGUGGAUCAGAAUGCCACGGUGAAUACGUUCCCGGGCCUUGUACACACCGCCCGUCACACCAUGGGAGUGGGUUGCAAAAGAAGUAGGUAGCUUAACCUUCGGGAGGGCGCUUACCACUUUGUGAUUCAUGACUGGGGUGAAGUCGUAACAAGGUAGGCGUAGCGAG